rnacentral:lncRNA from 1 species
CGCCAUUAACGGUUUAUACAUGUGUGAAACUGGGUCAGAGAAAACAUGCAGUUAUUGCUCUGAAUAUACGCGGAUAUUUAAAGUGCAUGGCGGAUAUGCACAACCUCCAGCAUAAGAGAUAUAAAGGUUCACUGCAAUUUUGACUAUGCCUAUUGUACACAUACUAUGCUCAGCAAGUGGAGUUGCUGUGAAUUCUCAUGCAGGCUCUCAGAUUUUCUACCUAGUGUAUGAAAAGUAAAGUACUGCUGUUGGAAGAGGAGCAGUGUGGUUUCUAUGGUCCACCAUCACUUCAAGCAUCAAUGAUCAUGGCUAUGGAUAAAUGAAGGUUUCAUUACAUAUGGACAAUUAUAUUGGACAAAAUAAGAAAAGUGUUCUAAUAAGUUCUGGAAUUUGGCUUGUUAUGAUGGGUCUACAUGAUAUGCGGGCUUGCAGAAU